rnacentral:rRNA from 1 species
GGAGGAUGGGCCCGGUCUAGGGCGGGCCCCGCACUCCCGGGGCGUCUCACUCUCAUCGCGAGAAGAGGCGCACCCAGAGCGUACACGCUGGGACCCGAAAGAUGGUGAACUAUGCCUGGUCAGGACGAAGUCAGGGGAAACCCUGAUGGAGGUCCGUAGCGAUUCUGACGUGCAAAUCGAUCGUCGGAACUGGGUAUAGGGGCGAAAGACUAAUCGAACCAUCUAGUACGUGGUUCCUUCCGAA